UGUGUUUGUCCUAAGUCAAACUUCUCUAACUUUGACCGUGCUUUUAGAAAAUAUACUGACAUUUACAAGUUCAAAUAAAUUCUCUAUCAAAAUAUAUUGCAUAAAGAAUCUAAUGAAACUCAUCUGAUAUUCUAGAUGUUUGAGUGUUUUUCUAUAAACCUGGACAAAGUUAAAGAAGUUUGACUUAGACAAAGGCAA
rfam:Sorghum bicolor cultivar BTx623 chromosome 6, whole genome shotgun sequence.